UACAGAGGGUGCAAACGUUGCUCGGAAUUACUGGGCGUAAAGGGCGUGUAGGCGGGAAGGUAAGUCAGAUGUGAAAUCCCUGGGCUCAACCCAGGAACUGCAUUUGAAACUCCCUUUCUUGAGUGUCGGAGAGGAAAGUGGAAUUCCUGGUGUAGAGGUGAAAUUCGUAGAUAUCAGGAGGAACACCGGUGGCGAAGGCGGCUUUCUGGACGACAACUGACGCUGAGACGCGAAAGCGUGGGGAGCAAACAGG
rnacentral:rRNA from 1 species